AAUCUGUGAGGUUUUUUUUUUUAGGACAAGCUCAUGAAUUGCCUAGAGACCCNCAGAGAGAAGAGGGAAGAAGUGCUAUCAUACAAGGUCAACACAGAGAAGGAAAGUCAAGACCUGCUGGAGCAAGUAAAGGCAGAGAGAGAAAAGACAGUGAGGACAUUCAGACAACUACACCAGUUUCUAAAAGAACAGGAAAAACUAUUGCUGGCUCAGAUGGAAGAAGUCAUGGAAGAGAUCAAAAGAGAAAGGGAAAACCACCUAGACAACCUUGAGAAGGAACGUCAGUCUUUGGAAAGUAUCAUCCAGGAGAUGGAGGAGAAACUUCAACAACCAGCAGUUGAUCUCCUGCAGGUAAGUCCCAGCCACGGGAUGACACUUGCAUGUAACACUUCCAUCUU
rnacentral:lncRNA from 1 species